GUGCCUGUCGUCCAGUGGUCAGGAUCCCAGGCUUUCAACCUGGGGAGCGGAGUUCGAUUCUCCGCAGGCACG
rnacentral:tRNA from 2 species